GCUACACAGAUGCUGUUUCCUUUGCCCAGCACACCUGUCACUCACCUCAACCCUUUCUCUCUUUUCCCCAUCUUUCUGUGGCUAGCUCCUCCUCAUUCUUUAGGUCUCAGUGUAGAUAGCACCACUAUCAGGAAGGAGUCCAGACACUGCCAGGCCUAAGAAAUGUAAAUUAAAUGCUCUCAAGGGAUGAGAGACACUGGAAGCUGGGACGCUCUUGGAACUCUGUUGCCAUCAUCAAGGCUUCCAGAUACAGCCCUCUAGGUCAUCCAGAGGUGCCAGCCAGCCCUCACCAGUGGUCAGCUUUUCCUCAGUGGAGUGGUAGGUGAGCCAGUGGAGCUUGCUCUGAAGAUACUAGAGGGAGCCAAAGCUGUCUGGCCCUUCAGUGUGACUCAGUUUCCAGACUCUUUCUCUUUAGACAUAAAUGAAGAACAAGUCAACCUUGAUGCCUUUGAGGGUUGGUUCAGCGGAUGAUGUGUUGUGGGGUUUUCCCACAGGUCAGCAGUCCAACUACCAGGGCCAGAGCCCCAUCAAAGAAUCUUCAGUGCCAGCCAGAAAGAAUGAUGAACUCCUCGUGUAAAGGGAGUUUGGGGCAACCAGUCAAACCAUGGCCUCAUGGGAAGCAGCUGACUAGGCAAUGAGAGAGGAAUACAAAAGACAAGGCACUGCGAAGCCAAGUCUGGUUGGGGAGAAGAAACCAAUAUGCCUGAAACAGGGAACCAGAAAGGACUCAGACAAAACUGCUGACAAGUAUGGGGUUUCUUGGGGUAGGUGGUGAAAAUAUUCCAAAAUAAGAUUAUAGCGAUGUUUUAAUAAUCCCCUGGAUAUAAUAAAAAAACAUCGAAUUGUACACUUCAAA
rnacentral:lncRNA from 1 species